CAACUUGGCGUUUCGACUCUCGAGUGGUCGAGUCCUCAUCCUCAGACUCAGUACACACGUACGUGUACUUACGUCUCCCAAAAACUGUUGACUUUGUUGAAAUACAAUUAAUUUAAGCACGUACCAAAACGAUAUAAGAAAGGUAUUAUAGGCUCACACUUCCUACUGUUCCUAGCUUCCCGCCCCGGACGGACUAGCAGACAGCAUUUCGGAUUCGUCUUUUCUUUUUUAAGGGCUCUCUGGGCAUAACUAAAACACGGGAAAUGGUGAACUAUAUAUCUCAGGAGUUCCGGAUUAACGUCCAUUUCUCGGUUGCUACUUCGUUACUCUUCUAGUUUUAGUUAUGUCGGAAUCACUUCCAAUAUUUCAUGAAUUGGUUCAGGAAUAUACUAAAGAAAAUUUAAAGCAUAUGAGGGAACAUGGAAACCGUUUAAAUCGUCUUUCAGUUAUAUCGCGGAAAGAUCAUUAAACUGUUAAAUUGGAAAUUUGCGGUCCAACGUAGUAAAAACGUUACCCCUUUGUAAGGUGUGAAAUGAGCCAACAUAGGAUUCAUUUUCCAGAACUGUAUAGAUGGAUAUUUGUCACACCAAAUUGUUCUAUGUUUAAACAAUAUCUUUAAUUUAAAGUACAUUUGACUAAUGAUUUCUCUUUUUCCCCUAUCGUUUGUGUCUUACAUUUGCAGUAUGUAUGCCUUAAAAGGCUUAUCGUUGUUGAACAGCUCUAGGUUUCUAGGAGAUUUCUUCUGUCGGAUAUCUUGGUGGAGCAGGAAUCAUUUCAUUAUAAAAUAGACCAAUCAGACAAGCACAAUGACAUCUGCACUCAGCAAUUGCCUGCCAUAGCUGAAGCUAUUGGCAGGUGCAUCGUGGAAACCGAUUUAGAACUAAAGGCGAGAAAUCUGUUCAGCCAGCCAAACCCUAAAUGUGGUGCUAACAUUCAUUCAUCACUCGGAACUUCUCGUUUAUGCACAAAAAGUCAAACAGUAUCACGAAUGAUUACGAUUCUUCACAAUUCAAAGCUACCAGACCAAGCAGGAUUGUAUGGGUUCAAGAAAAGCAUUAAGUUGGUCAAAAGCUUCAAGCUUCAACCUAUCGUCUGUCGUACUUGUCGCCUGGGUAAUAUUUUCCAUCAAAUCAUUCAAAGGCGAUAAUAUAGCCUGACCAUAGAACAGAUAUUUUCCAUACUAAUACAUGAAAGACAAUUACUCUUAGAGUCUUAGUCGAGUUUUAGUUUUCUGCAGACGGCGUGGCUAAGAGGACAAGAAAUCUAAAUUCUAGAACUCGCAACUCCGAGGAAAAUACUCAAGCAGACGAGAAAUGGGGCUCCCACAACUCACUUGCCGUGUUUUAGUAGUUACCCAUUUCUGUUUCCCUAGUAUAGUUAGCCCCGGUUUUAUACCAAGAUUCAUUCAUACAUGCAACUGAGAAUUCGCUACCUAAUUUCUGUGGAGAAAAGAGAAUAAAAAUAAAAGAAUGAUGCAGAUAAUAACAAAUUUUAUGUUCUGAUGUUAAUUUGUGCAAAAAAUUAAAUAAAAAAUAUAUAAAUUGUUUCAA
rnacentral:lncRNA from 1 species